AGUGAACGCUGGCGGUAGGCCUAACACAUGCAAGUCGAACGGCAGCACAGUAAGAGCUUGCUCUUACGGGUGGCGAGUGGCGGACGGGUGAGGAAUACAUCGGAAUCUACUUUUUCGUGGGGGAUAACGUAGGGAAACUUACGCUAAUACCGCAUACGACCUACGGGUGAAAGCAGGGGAUCUUCGGACCUUGCGCGAUUGAAUGAGCCGAUGUCGGAUUAGCUAGUUGGCGGGGUAAAGGCCCACCAAGGUGACGAUCCGUAGCUGGUCUGAGAGGAUGAUCAGCCACACUGGAACUGAGACACGGUCCAGACUCCUACGGGAGGCAGCAGUGGGGAAUAUUGGACAAUGGGCGCAAGCCUGAUCCAGCCAUACCGCGUGGGUGAAGAAGGCCUUCGGGUUGUAAAGCCCUUUUGUUGGGAAAGAAAGGCAGCAGGUUAAUACCCCGCUGUUCUGACGGUACCCAAAGAAUAAGCACCGGCUAACUUCGUG
rnacentral:rRNA from 1 species